AGAUGAAACCCAAAUCCUAUUUUCCCAGGAAUUGACCCAAACACCGACUAUUGAGCCACCUCCAUCCCAAAAGUCAACACAGCGAAAGAGGCCAAACAAAGACCCUGUCCCUGCCAAGGUGGCAAGCAAG